rnacentral:rRNA from 1 species
UACGUAGGGGGCGAGCGUUGUCCGGAUUUACUGGGCGUAAAGGGUGAGUAGGCGGUUAUAUAUGUCAGGUGUAAAAGGCUAUGGCUUAACCAUGGUUAGCACUUGAAACUGUAUGACUUGAGUGCAGGAGAGGUAAGUGGAAUUCCUGGUGUAGCGGUGAAAUGCGUAGAUAUCAGGAGGAACUCCGGUGGCGAAGGCGACUUCCUGGCACAAGACUGACGCUCAUGUGCGAAAGCUAGGGUAGCGAACGGGAUUAGAUACCCUGGUA